GCAUUUCCAAGUCAACGAACGCCAAAAAUGAAGUUUCUUUACGCCAGAUGUCACAGAGAUAACUGUGCACGGAGCACCUCGGAAUCGCGCCGAGUUCAGACGACUACACUUCGUGAUUAGUUACUAAUUUGUCCAGACACAUUGCGUUUGCAACAACACCGCUAUCCCGUCAAAGUGAGCUGGCAGGCCUGACGGACAGACGGACAGACGGACAGCGGUCUGUCCGAGCCCCCGGGGCCUGCGGUAUUUAUAUCCGUGAGCCAAGACCAGGCCCCGGCAGAGACACGGCAACUAUAAAAGGAAUCUCAGAAUUCAAUAACAAAGAUAUUUACAGACGGCUCUGCCCGUAUGAUUUAACGCUGUAAGCACGUUGUGCCGAACACGGGUCAGUCUUCCCGGGUCGCGGCUACAACGCGCCCCUCGGCCCGGACGAAGCGCCCCUCGGCCCGGACGAAGUGCCCCUCGGCCCGGACGGAGCGCCCCUCGGCCCGGACGGAGCGCCUCUCAGCCCGGACGAAGCCCCCCUCGGCCCGGACGAAGCCCCCCCCCGCGGCGUCCCCGCCCGUUUGGUCCCGCUCUGGUCUCCGCGGCGCUCGUCUCGCACGUUAGCGCUCGCCGCGUUACUGCUACCCGCACGCCGCGCACACACCCCGGUCUCUCCCUCACACACAGCGCCCCGCACCCAGCCAACAGGCUCCUCCUCCUGGGCACUGUGAAUCCGUGCGGCUGUGGGGAGUGUGAGCCGCACGCUCAGGCCUACACGCACCCCAGUGCGGCUGAGAGAACCGCCAAAAUGUGCACCGACAACACGCGCGUGUCCCGCUCGCGGCUGACAUCCUGCACUACAGGCCGCAGGAGGAAGAACCUGGAAACCAGGCGGACAUUUUAUAUACAUUUAUACACCCCCCCGUGUGAUCAUCACCUGCAACACACGGCCAGUCUGUUACACGCGUGUGUCCCCCCACCGUGUGAUCAUCACCUGCAACACACGGGCAGUCUGUUACACGCGUGUGUCCCCCCACCGUGUGAUCAUCACCUGCAGCACACGGCCAGUCUGUAACACGCGUGUGUCCCCCCCCCCCGUGUGAUCAUCACCUGCAACACACGGCCAGUCUGUUACACGCGUGUGAAGGCGCUCGCAAUAAACUCACAGCCCCCAAAGUUUAGUCAGCAAUUGUCUCUCUUUAUUAAGUCUGGUGUUCUGUGCUCGGGGUUAUUCUGGAAAGACGGAGUACCAGGGAGCGGGGGAGUCUGAACGGAGAGGGGGAGAGAGAGAGAGAGAGGGAGAGAGAGAGAGAGAGAGAGCGAGAGAGAGACCUGGUGAACGCGUGUAUCCAUUAUUCCUCAUGAAGCUGUCCCGUGUCAGACAGGUGGAGACACCAGGCCUUCUGAGGGUUCAUUAGGAGUGUGCCGAGGUUCGUUUGAUAAAUUUCCGUGUCUCACCAAGUGUCUCUCCAGAGCAAUUUUAACUCCGCUCUCCCCCCCAAAAUAAAGGUGGACCGACUCCCCAUCCGUGGCUGCCCAGGGAUGUCCCACUGAAGACGGGUGAGACACACACGCACGCUAAAAUUAUUAUUCAUAACGAGGUGCCUUUACUUCCUGUGGUUUUUUAAAUUUAUUUUAUGCUCCCUUUAUUUUAAUGUUUUAAUGUUAAAUGAGUUCUGUAAGAACUGUACAGUGAACAAAGAAAUGUAUUUUCAGAAAAUUGUAUUUUCUGUAUAACAAUGUCAUAUGCAAUAUUCCUGUUUUGCAUGUCAAAUAUCACAGUGUGAAACUUAAAAUAAACAAACUCAGGAAAAUA